UGGGGAAUAUUGCACAAUGGGGGAAACCCUGAUGCAGCAACGCCGCGUGAGUGAAGAAGUAUUUCGGUAUGUAAAGCUCUAUCAGCAGGGAAGAAAAUGACGGUACCUGACUAAGAAGCCCCGGCUAACUACGUGCCAGCAGCCGCGGUAAUACGUAGGGGGCAAGCGUUAUCCGGAUUUACUGGGUGUAAAGGGAGCGUAGGCGGUUUGGCAAGUCAGAAGUGAAAGCCCAAGGCUUAACCAUGGGACUGCUUUUGAAACUGUCAGACUGGAUUGCGAGAG
rnacentral:rRNA from 1 species